CCUGAGCACCCCAAAGCAAAAAGAGGAUAAAGAGGGGAACUUUGCACAUACAAAAACAGAAGAAAAAAAAAAAAGGCGAAGGGGUGAAAGAGUCGGAGGAGAGGAGCGGCCGCGUCCCCGAUGUGCCUGGCCUUUCGGGCUGUGCACCUGCACCUAAGUGAGGCAGCGGAGAAGCUGGAAGAGGCACAAGCAGAUAUUACGCGACGAGUCGUUGUUAUAGCUAGGAAAGAGACGGAAGAGGGAGACGCUGCCGGCAGCCGCGUCCUGGGACCGCUCUGCACGGAACGACUCCAAAACGAGGAGCUGUCGCUCAGGCGGAAAAACUACGGGAAAAGUGGGAUUAUCGGAACCCUUUCAAAACUCACACAACAAAUACAGCCACCGCAUCUAAUGCAUCAUUUACCAGAGCAGAUCUCCGCGUUUGAUCGGCAGAUAGGCAAAAUCUAUGUAUUCCUUGCUUUACUUAGUAUGCAUGGAUGCGGGGCUGCUGUGCACGAGGGUUGCCCCCAGCCGGGCCUGGGACACCCCCGAGGCUCUUCGCACACUCUGGUCUCUGCUGUGGAUUCGUGGAGUGACAAGAGAGUCCCCUGCUCAUCCCCGAUCCAGGGGAGCAGGGUGGGACAACAGCUCACCGCGCAGGGUGCUGCCACACAGCAUGCUUGGAAAUCUGGGGCUGCUCUGCUGCUGGAUUUGCAGGGAAGGGAGAAGAGUUCUGAACAUCAUCCUGGGCACCCCAGGCACCUGCUUGCACUCACGCUGUCUCCUGCACCCACAGCCACCUUCACCUGCAUCCAGGGGCAGUCGCUGCUCCAGGAGUGAUGAAGUGCGUGGCAGCACCUUUUUCCCCACGCUGAAAGCCAUGCUCAGGUUCAGCUGUGUCCCAGUCCUGCCCCAGCCCUCAGCAGUUUAGCUGGGUCAAUCUCGUCGAAACUCCCAGUGCUCCCCCAGCUCGUUCCCCCCAAACCCUGGCCAUGGAGCCCUGCCAGCCCCUUGGUCCUCCACGGGCUGGGCUGGCUUCCAGCCCUCACUGCUGGGUAUCCCUCCACCUCCCAGCCGCAGGCAGAACAGGGCACCUGAGGCAGCCCGAAUUUGGGAAGCAAUUGGUGAUUCUGAGGGAUGAGAAUAAACCUUACAGAAAGGGAGUUAUUUUCUCCUAGAGCUAGUGUGAAGCCUGUCCCUUCCAGCUCAGGGCACUAUCAGAUUUUUCUUCCUUUCUUUCUUCCUCUCUUUCUUUACUUCUCUCUUUAUUUCUUAUUCUCUCUUUUUUUUUUACUCAUUUUUCCCCCCUCCUAAAACCUAUCUAUAUAACAGUAAAUUCCCUCCAGUCUGGGUGUGCAGCCCCCAGUUCCUGAACAGGAGAUCCCCCAAGCCAGAGCCAGGGACAGAUGUCCCUUUUCCCUCACCCAACCCUUCUUUCUUCUGGUAGUACCUGAGCUUGUGCCCAGGAGCCUGACAAGGAAACAUUUUAUUCUGCUGCACUACAGCACGUCACAUAUUGCUAGCAUUGCCCUGGACCCCCAGGCCAGGAGGACAGCAAGAUUUGGCUUGAGGACAGGACACCUACAGUCUCCUGAUUCCCUCUACCUGUCUAGCAAAGCUCGUCUCAUCCCUGCCUGGAAAGACAGAGAAACUUUCAUGGGAUGUUGCAGGCAAGCAGCAGCCCCUGCCCGCACUUGAGAGUUUUGCAAAUGUUCAACUUGUACUAAUUUUGUAUGGCUGUAUUCACAGUUGUUCUCUGUAAAAAAUGGACCUGUGUUAGUUUAUUAAUAACCUAAACAUUACGCAUUAAAGACCUAUGAGUGACACAAGAUGACAAAAAGCUGUAUUUUUCCAAUAUACACAAGCACACAUUUAAUAACCUUCUAUUGCAUCUCAGCUAGGCCUUCUCUCUGAUGGUUCCCAUGGCAACUGAGAUAAAAAAGCAGCCAUUUUCCAUAUCUCUAUGAAAGUCUAUUAUAUUGCAGGAUUAGUUCAUCUUCUGCUAAGGUCAAACACAAAGUCAUACAACCUGAAAUAUUUAGAAUCCAUGUACAUUCAUUUUUUUAUAUGCCCUUUCAUUUUCCACAAAAGACUGGGCUCCUCCGAGGUUUUAUUCCCCAGAAAAUGCUAAGCAAAGCAAUAAAAA
rnacentral:lncRNA from 12 species